rnacentral:rRNA from 1 species
CGUAGUCGAUGGGAACCAGGUUAAUAUUCCUGGGCCACCGGGUAGUGACGGAUGCCGGACUUUGUCCAUCCUUAUUGGAUUGGGUGGGCAAUAAAGGCGUCCCUGGAAAUAGCUCCCGGAAUAAGACCGUACCCCAAACCGACACUGGUGGACUGGUAGAGUAUACCGAGGCGUAGAGAUAAUAAUGUUGAAGGAACUAGACAAAUUGCACCUGUAACUUAGGAAGAAGGGUGACCUAUUCUGGGCAACCAGAAGUAGGUGGCAGAAAAUAGGGGGUGGCGACUGUUUAUCAAAAACACAGGACUCUG